rnacentral:rRNA from 1 species
GCGGCGUGCCUAUCAUGCAGUCGAGCGAUGAUUGGNGAUAGCUUGCUAUUUUCAUGAAGAGCGGCGAACGGGUGAGUAACGCGUGGGAAAUCUGCCGAGUAGCGGGGGACAACGUUUGGAAACGAACGCUAAUACCGCAUAACAAUAAGAAUCGCAUGAUUCUUAUUUGAAAGAAGCAAUUGCUUCACUACUUGAUGAUCCCGCGUUGUAUUAGCUAGUUGGUAGUGUAAAGGACUACCAAGGCGAUGAUACAUAGCCGACCUGAGAGGGUGAUCGGCCACUGGGNAGGACUGAGACA